rnacentral:lncRNA from 1 species
GUGGACAUCUCAAGGGAGAAUAUCAUGUUCGUACAAAGAUAGAUAGUUGGCCUAUCCCUUAAUAGGGAUUUUCAACAUCUUUCGAGCUUACCUGUUACACAUCUGGUAUAGUUAACGGAGGUCUAACUGCACUACAGUGCCUUGGGCCCUGCAUCUUCUCUUUGUAUUCCGUUCUUUGCAAGUCACAAGUUGCAUCACCACAACUGAGAACAUUCCAACCCAGGUCCGUUUUGUUGUUGCUGGCAGCCAAAACUCUCUCGCCAUUUGCGACCACUGCAAGGUGGGCCCCUUGUUUGGGUUAAUAUUUAAACCUUGGGCUUUCAGGAAGGAAAGCCCAAGAAAGGUCAAUAAAGAAGGUUUUGUCAGAAGCCCAGAAUCAAGCCCAGUUCAUCCAUUUCAAGAUAUUAUGACAGCUCCCCAUUAAUGCAAAGGCCAGUUGCUUACAAGAAGUGACAACCGAUGGAAGAUCACCAACUCUCGGCCCAAAAGUACUUUUUGGAUGGCAAACUCGUAAAAAUGGUGGUGACUCAUUACCUUUCAGUUGCUUUCGGGCAAGAACAGAAACGGCACAGCUGGACUAAUUCGUUUAUAAAAGGAGGAAGAGGGUUCAAAGACAAGGACACUCAACCAAUCAAACAAACAAACAUACAACUGGUCUCUCAACCAAGCAAAUACCCAGAAAGUCGUGCUUUGUCCUGACUUUGCACAUUUUUAGCCUUAGACUUCCUUAGAAAGACAUUUUUUGUCUAUGUAAAAGCUCUGCUACCUUUUCCCUAAAUGUUGUAGUAUCGAUCUCUCAUGUGCAAACUCCUUUCCAGUCAUCCCCUUUAGUACUCAAUCCUUUUGUAAACUGCCAAGGGAAUAGAUCGCAAGACGUUUUAACCUUGCUCGACAAGGUGAAAUCUUGCCUGACUCUCUUUGUUUUGCCUUUCCAUUAAUAGAUUUAAUAUUAUAAUGUAUUCCUCAGUAGAUAUGCAAGUCAUUUUUGGUCUCUUAAUGAUCUGAAGUUCCAUUAACUCUCAAAUCUGGUUCACUUAGUACUUUUACUAUCGUGAAAGUAAAAGAAACUGAUGUUUUGAUUAUAUUUGGACCUCCACCCUUUGAAGCAUACAAGAUAAACAAAAGUCCUUGAUCUCAAGGCAUAAAAAAGAACUUAAUGUGGACUUAACCCAUCCACAACAAUCCUUUGAUAAUGAGAAGUUAAAGUAACUUAGGGCGCAAGUAAUCGGCUUAAAUACACUCAUUCUGCAUUUGCCAUAUAGAUAUGGCAGUGGCACGCCUCAGCACUUAGUUAGUUUUGAUUGCGAGCCUCACGGCCUACACCUAAGGCCUGACAAAGGCACAUUUCAAAACUAACUCUAUCAUCUU